AACGAACGCUGGCGGCAUGCCUAACACAUGCAAGUCGAACGAGGUCUUCGGGUCUAGUGGCGCACGGGUGCGUCACGCGUGGGCAGCUGCCCUUUGGUUCGGAAUAACAGUUGGAAACGACUGCUAAUAUCGGAUGAUGACCAAAGUCCAAAGAUUUAUCGCCUGAGGAUGAGCCCGCGUUGGAUUAGGUAGUUGGUGGGGUAAAGGCCUACCAAGCCGACGAUCCAUAGCUGGUCUGAGAGGAUGAUCAGCCACACUGGGACUGAGACACGGCCCAGAUUCCUACGGGAGGCAGCAGUGGGGAAUACUGGACAAUGGGCGAAAGCCUGAUCCAGCAAUGCCGCGUGAGUGAUGAAGGCCCUAGGGUUGUAAAGCUCUUCUACCCGGGAAGAUAAUGACUGUACCGGGAGAAUAAGCCCCGGCUAACUCCGUGCCAGCCGCCGCCGUAA
rnacentral:rRNA from 1 species